UUUACAACUUGAUUAAGCAGGUAUCUGGUUACAUGUCUACAUUUGGACAUGUCUACAUCUGACUUGUUUUCCAAAUGUAGACAUGUAACCAGAUACCUGCUUAAUCA